GAUGAACGCUGGCGGCGUGCCUAAUACAUGCAAGUCGAGCGAACAGAUAAGGAGCUUGCUCCUUUGACGUUAGCGGCGGACGGGUGAGUAACACGUGGGUAACCUACCUAUAAGACUGGAAUAACUCCGGGAAACCGGGGCUAAUGCCGGAUAACAUUUAGAACCGCAUGGUUCUAAAGUGAAAGAUGGUUUUGCUAUCACUUCUAGAUGGACCCGCGCCGUAUUAGCUAGUUGGUAAGGUAACGGCUUACCAAGGCAACGAUGCGUAGCCGACCUGAGAGGGUGAUCGGCCACACUGGAACUGAGACACGGUCCAGACUCCUACGGGAGGCAGCAGUAGGGAAUCUUCCGCAAUGGGCGAAAGCCUGACGGAGCAACGCCGCGUGAGUGAUGAAGGUCUUCGGAUCGUAAAACUCUGUUAUUAGGGAAGAACAAAUGUGUAAGUAACUGUGCACGUCUUGACGGUACCUAAUCAGAAAGCCACGGCUAACUACGUG
rnacentral:rRNA from 1 species